rnacentral:rRNA from 1 species
UACGUAGGGGGCAAGCGUUGUCCGGAAUUAUUGGGCGUAAAGAGCGCGUAGGUGGUCCGGUAAGUCGGUUGUGAAAGUCGGGGGCUCAACCCUCGGAUGCCGAUCGAUACUGCCGGGCUAGAGUCCGGAAGAGGCGAGUGGAAUUCCUGGUGUAGCGGUGAAAUGCGCAGAUAUCAGGAGGAACACCAAUGGCGAAGGCAGCUCGCUGGGACGGUACUGACGCUGAGGCGCGAAAGCGUGGGGAGCAAACAGG